rnacentral:rRNA from 1 species
GCUUGCUCCCUGAUGUUAGCGGCGGACGGGUGAGUAACACGUGGGUAACCUGCCUGUAAGACUGGGAUAACUCCGGGAAACCGGGGCUAAUACCGGAUGGUUGUUUGAACCGCAUGGUUCAAACAUAAAAGGUGGCUUCGGCUACCACUUACAGAUGGACCCGCGGCGCAUUAGCUAGUUGGUGAGGUAAUGGCUCACCAAGGCAACGAUGCGUAGCCGACCUGAGAGGGUGAUCGGCCACACUGGGACUGAGACACGGCCCAGACUCCUACGGGAGGCAGCAGUAGGGAAUCUUCCGCAAUGGACGAAAGUCUGACGGAGCAACGCCGCGUGAGUGAUGAAGGUUUUCGGAUCGUAAAGCUCUGUUGUUAGGGAAGAACAAGUACCGUUCGAAUAGGGCGGUACCUUGACGGUACCUAACCAGAAAGCCACGGCUAACUACGUGCCAGCAGCCGCGGUAAUACGUAGGUGGCAAGCGUUGUCCGGAAUUAUUGGGCGUAAAGGGCUCGCAGGCGGUUUCUUAAGUCUGAUGUGAAAGCCCCCGGCUCAACCGGGGAGGGUCAUUGGAAACUGGGGAACUUGAGUGCAGAAGAGGAGAGUGGAAUUCCACGUGUAGCGGUGAAAUGCGUAGAGAUGUGGAGGAACACCAGUGGCGAAGGCGACUCUCUGGUCUGUAACUGACGCUGAGGAGCGAAAGCGUGGGGAGCGAACAGGAUUAGAUACCCUGGUAGUCCACGCCGUAAACGAUGAGUGCUAAGUGUUAGGGGGUUUCCGCCCCUUAGUGCUGCAGCUAACGCAUUAAGCACUCCGCCUGGGGAGUACGGUCGCAAGACUGAAACUCAAAGGAAUUG